UACGUAGGUGGCAAGCGUUGUCCGGAAUUAUUGGGCGUAAAGCGCGCGCAGGCGGUCCUUUAAGUCUGAUGUGAAAGCCCACGGCUCAACCGUGGAGGGUCAUUGGAAACUGGGGGACUUGAGUACAGAAGAGAAGAGUGGAAUUCCACGUGUAGCGGUGAAAUGCGUAGAGAUGUGGAGGAACACCAGUGGCGAAGGCGACUCUUUGGUCUGUAACUGACGCUGAGGCGCGGAAGCGUGGGGAGCAAACAGG
rnacentral:rRNA from 1 species